rnacentral:rRNA from 1 species
UACGGAGGGGGCUAGCGUUGUUCGGAAUUAUUGGGCGUAAAGAGCUCGUAGGCGGUUUGUCGCGUCGACUGUGAAAACUGGGGGCUUAACUCUCAGCUUGCAGUUGAUACGGGCAGACUUGAGUUCGGUAGGGGAGACUGGAAUUCCUGGUGUAGCGGUGAAAUGCGCAGAUAUCAGGAGGAACACCGGUGGCGAAGGCGGGUCUCUGGGCCGAUACUGACGCUGAGGAGCGAAAGCGUGGGGAGCGAACAGG